rnacentral:rRNA from 1 species
UAACGAAUAUUCCGCAAUGCACGAAAGUGUGACGGAGCAAUGCCGCGUGCAGGAUGAAGCAGCUUCGCUGUGUAAACUGCUGUCAGGGGUGAGAAACACUGAUCAGCCCCAGAGGAAGGACCGGCUAAACUCGUGCCAGCAGCCGCGGUAAGACGAGUGGUCCAAGCGUUAGUCGGAAUCACUGGGCUUAAAGGGUGCGUAGGCGGAUCGGUAAGUGCCUUGUGAAAGCCCCUCGCUCAACGAGGGAACCGCAGGGCAUACUGCCGAUCUUGAAGAAGGUAGAGGCGGGCGGAACGAUAGGUGGAGCGGUGGAAUGCGUAGAGAUCUAUCGGAACGCCAAGGGUGAAGACAGCCCGCUGGGCCUUUCUUGACGCUGAGGCACGAAAGCGUGGGGAGCAAA